AAAUUGAAGAGUUUGAUCAUGGCUCAGAUUGAACGCUGGCGGCAGGCCUAACACAUGCAAGUCGAGCGGUAACACAGAGGAGCUUGCUCCUUGGGUGACGAGCGGCGGACGGGUGAGUAAUGCCUGGGGAUCUGCCCGAUAGAGGGGGAUAACUACGGGAAACUGUAGCUAAUACCGCAUAAUGUCUAUGGACCAAAGUGGGGGCUCUUCGGACCUCAUGCUAUUGGAUGAACCCAGGUGGGAUUAGCUAGUUGGUGAGGUAA
rnacentral:rRNA from 1 species